AUUGAACGCUGGCGGCAUGCUUUACACAUGCAAGUCGAACGGCAGCGCGGGCUUCGGCCUGGCGGCGAGUGGCGAACGGGUGAGUAAUACAUCGGAACGUGCCCAGGAGUGGGGGAUAGCUCGGCGAAAGCCGGAUUAAUACCGCAUACGACCUGAGGGUGAAAGCGGGGGAUAUUCGGACCUCGCGCUAUUGGAGCGGCCGAUGGCAGAUUAGCUAGUUGGUGGGGUAAAGGCCUACCAAGGCUACGAUCUGUAGCUGGUCGGAGAGGACGACCAGCCACACUGGGACUGAGACACGGCCCAGACUCCUACGGGAGGCAGCAGUGGGGAAUUUUGGACAAUGGUCGAAAGCCUGAUCCAGCAAUGCCGCGUGUGUGAUGAAGGCCUUCGGGUUGUAAAGCACUUUUGGCGGGAACGAAAAGGACUGUGCCAAUACCACGGUUCGAUGACGGUACCCGCAGAAUAAGCACCGGCUAACUCCGUG
rnacentral:rRNA from 1 species